rnacentral:rRNA from 1 species
GAUUAGCCAGUUGGCAGGGUAACGGCCUACCAAAGCGACGAUCAGUAGCCGACCUGAGAGGGUGACCGGCCACAUUGGGACUGAGACACGGCCCAAACUCCUACGGGAGGCAGCAGUGGGGAAUAUUGCACAAUGGGGGAAACCCUGAUGCAGCGACGCCGCGUGAGCGAAGAAGUAUUUCGGUAUGUAAAGCUCUAUCAGCAGGGAAGAAGAAUGACGGUACCUGACUAAGAAGCACCGGCUAAAUACGUGCCAGCAGCCGCGGUAAUACGUAUGGUGCAAGCGUUAUCCGGAUUUACUGGGUGUAAAGGGAGCGCAGGCGGUGCGGCAAGUCUGAUGUGAAAGCCCGGGGCUCAACCCCGGUACUGCAUUGGAAACUGUCGUACUAGAGUGUCGGAGGGGUAAGUGGAAUUCCUAGUGUAGCGGUGGAAUGCGUAGAUAUUAGGAGGAACACCAGUGGCGAAGGCGGCUUACUGGACGAUAACUGACGCUGAGGCUCGAAAGCGUGGGGAGCAAACAGGAGUAGAUACCCUGGUAGUCCACGCCGUAAAC